UAAUUUAUUGCUUUAGCAUCAAGUAUUGUAGUUUGUAUCUUUGGCAUGAAAGCAGAGGAUCACACUCAGUUGAGAACAUGUCAUGUUUGAUAACAUGUUUGAUAACCUGGUAACAUGAAAGGAGUGAACUCCUUUCACUCAGCCUGGGAGAAUGUUAGGGGUAUUGUUACAUAGUUGGCUAUUCUCUUUAAAAUGUACCUUCUUAAAUAUUUUAUUCCUUAACUCAUAAAAGCAUAUGUGAUGCUGACCAAAUUUUUGACUGUAUGAAAAAUUUCUCUCUACCUCUCAAAUCUACAAAUUUCAGAAUGUCCAUUUCUUGGAAGGGAAUCCUGAUGAAUAAUGAGUGUGCUAAUGGAAAAUGCCAUUCUUCAUGACUUGAAACCACAGGCAUCUACUUUAGAGGAAAUGGUUGCCUUUUGAAUGAUUUUUAUAGUAAGGGUAAUAAAAGAAGACAUGGAUGAAGCUUCUGAAACUCCAGCUUCCGUUAUAAUUCAGAAGAGUUUAAAGACCAAAAAUGCUGCAGUCACUUUUUUUCAGGUGUGUUGCUAGAGACAAGCAAUGGCAUUACCUGAGAGCUUACUAGAAAUGUGGGAUCUGCCACAGAACACACAAAGACCUCCUAAAUCAGAAUGUCCAUUUUAACAAGAUCCAAGAAGAUUGGUGAACACAUUGUUUGAGAAGCACUGAUGGGUUCCAUACCUUUGAGAAACUUCAUCAUUGAGGUAUUGAACAUCCACCUCAUGCACCCCAAAAUUGACAGCUGUUUUGCUUAUUAUAUUCCAACUCUGGAAAGUUAAUCUUGGGUUUUGGUUUAGAAAAGUGGUUUUUAGCACCAUCACUUGAGAAACUUGUUGAGAAUGCACAUUCUCAGGCUCCAUCCCCAAUCUGUUGAACACUCAGGAUGUUUGUUUGUUUAAAGCCCUUUAGGUGAUGGUUUUCUACUAGAGAACCACCAAUCAAGGGAAUUACUAAUUUAAAAGAAUUGCCUUUUCAAAUGUUUGUAGAGAAGAACUUGAUAUGUUCUAUGACUUUUGUUGAGAUUAAAUUUUCAAAUGGCUGUA